rnacentral:rRNA from 1 species
UACGGAGGGGGCUAGCGUUGUUCGGAAUUACUGGGCGUAAAGCGCACGUAGGCGGCUUUUUAAGUCGGAGGUGAAAUCCUGGAGCUCAACUCCAGAACUGCCUUCGAUACUGAAGAGCUCGAGUCCGGGAGAGGUGAGUGGAACUGCGAGUGUAGAGGUGAAAUGCGCAGAUAUCAGGAGGAACACCAAUGGCGAAGGCAGCUCGCUGGGACGUGACUGACGCUGAGACGCGAAAGCGUGGGGAGCAAACAGG